rnacentral:rRNA from 1 species
GAUGAACGCUGGCGGCGUGCCUAAUACAUGCAAGUCGAGCGAACGGACGAGAAGCUUGCUUCUCUGAUGUUAGCGGCGGACGGGUGAGUAACACGUGGAUAACCUACCUAUAAGACUGGGGUAACUUCGGGAAACCGUAGCUAAUACCGGAUAAUAUUUUGAACCGCAUGGUUCAAAAGUGAAAGACGGUCUUGCUGUCACUUAUAGAUGGAUCCGCGCUGCAUUAGCUAGUUGGUAAGGUAACGGCUUACCAAGGCAACGAUGCAUAGCCGACCUGAGAGGGUGAUCGGCCACACUGGAACUGAGACACGGUCCAGACUCCUACGAGAGGCAGCAGUAGGGAAUCUUCCGCAAUGGGCGAAAGCCUGACGGAGCAACGCCGCGUGAGUGAUGAAGGUCUUCGGAUCGUAAAACUCUGUUAUUAGGGAAGAACAUAUGUGUAAGUAACUGUGCACAUCUUGACGGUACCUAAUCAGAAAGCCACGGCUAACUACGUG